GCGUAUAAAUCCUUAGUACGCCCAGCAUACGUAAGUCGGUUACAAAGGUUAUAAAAGUCGAUUAUCAGCUAACCAGAAGGGGGGAUUCGACUUUCAACUUAAUUUAGUCGAUAUUAAACUUCUGUUAAGCCGUUUUGAGGGUCUAGAAGGCGGCUGGAAGGCCGUUAAGCUAACGGGAGCGGAGAUCGGAAGGGUUGGAGAGCGGAUACAUGUCGGUAAUCAUAUGGAUUGUUAACGUGACCAUGUUUAGCAUUCCAUUGUGUUAGUAUUCUGUAUUUAGUUUCUGAUUUGGGUGUAAAAACCUUUUACUUUGCGUUUAUGAUUGAAUGAAGCUUUGAUUAUUAGACUAAUUGCUAUAUUGAAUUAUUUGUUUAUAUUUAAUUUAUCUUGCCAAGCUUGUUAAAAGAUCCUUACGUAUUAAUGAUGAUUAUUUGCUGUUAAUUGUUAAGUGAAUUGAGUUGUAUGAACAUCUGCUUGAUUGCUUGUCUCUUAUGAUUUUGAUGACCAUCGAGAUUAUAAGUCUAGGAAUAACGAAUGUGAAACUAGGAUUAACUUGGGAAUAAGUAAGUUAAUGUGUGAGCCUUGUUGGAUGACCAUCAACAAGAGGUUAAAUUGAAUUAGUAAUUUGAUUAACUAUAUUUACAAGUCUUGCUUGAUACGAACUGAACACUAGGAAGCAUGUUAGUUUAAUCAACCGAUCACUGUUUAAAUUGACUUGUUUGCUAAAGGAUUAGUUGUAGUGAAUGCGAAUCUAAUCAUUUUAGGAAUCGGUGAACAUAAAUAAAUGAAUUUGUGUAUGCAAUUGUCUAUGUUUUUAAGGUGUAAUUUAUCUAAAUCAAAGUACCUGAAUAGAUUUGUUUUCCUGUUAGUUUAUCAAAAGUUGUUAAUUAAUUGUUAGUUUGAUAUUUAUUAAACUAUUUCUUUAUUCUUUCAUGUGACCUGUAACCUAUAAUCAAAUAUUUUAAAUUAAUUCACCACCGUUCCCUGUGAUCGACACCCGACUUACCUAAGCUAUACUGUAAUCUAACUAGGUACACUGCCUAUAAGUGCAUAGUUAGUCUAAGUUUGUUAGGUCAUAAAUAUUAAAAUUAGUGGGUACUUUUGUGCACAUCAACCCCACCAAAUCCAAAUCUCAUCCUUGGACUUCUUGACCAAUUCCCAUGAGGUGAUCUGGCAGAUUAUCACAAAGCACAUUAGUUACAAAAAAUGAAACUUAAAACAUGAAUUUUAUUUCAUGUGUUGAAAACAUAACAAGAAAAGGAAAUAAGAACAUAUAUACCUCCUCCUAUUGUUUCUCCUUCUGAAAGGACCUUCACUGAAUGCCCAAUCAAUAUUCACAUUCUGAAUCAGCAUCUCACUUCCAUCCAUUACAACUAUAGCUUUCUCUGCUUCUUCAAAGCUUUCAACUCAAUCAGUGCAUACCCCUGUUGCAGUAUAAAGCCAAAUUACAACUUUGCCACUUCCAUACUUCAUACAUCAAGAAAACACAACUUACUACAAAAUAAUAUCACAAUACCUUGACAAAACCAGUCCUGCGAUCAAGAUUUAGAUGCAAGUUCUUAAUCUCACCAAACUCCCCAAAUGCAUUUUGUAAGUCUUCCUAUUGGGCUUCUUCAUGUACCCCAGUAACCAGAAUAAUCCACCCCUCAAUUGCUGCAGAUAUUCAUAGAUUUAUUAUAAACAAGAUAAAAAGGGUUGCAAGGCGUAUUGUAGUGGUUAAGUGGAAGAUCGAGCUCUUGCUGUUCUUGACUAGUUAGGUCACUUCUUGUUCCGCUUUUAGUUAAAGGUGAAAAGAAAACAAAGGAAAUAUUCUAACGGGUCCCGAAAGUGGGUGUUUUCGCAAACCAAUUCUUGCGUGCAAAGGUUUUUAAUCUACUAUUGUUGUUUAAUCUUGACAAAGAUAAGUGAUUAUGACGUCUCGUUUUUUUAUGUCACUCAUCGGAAAGUCAUCAGUUGCUGAAGAAAUUAAAAAGAAAAAUAAUUGUAAUUAUAAGUCCCUAAAUUAAUUAGUUAAAAGAAAGGAAUUUCGAAUAAAGAAAAGGAAAUAUUUCAUUUAAAUUACGCCCAGCGUACAUUUAAUGUACGCCAAGCGUAAUUCGACCACGGAUCGCGGAUGCUUCUUUCCGAAGAUGGGUUUACGCCCAGCAUAAGUCGACGACCAGGUUAUAUCUGUUUACCCUUUGACUUUUUUGUUAUUCUUUCAAUUCUCUUCUACUCUCGCAUACGCUGUGACGACGAACUUCUUCACAAAAUCCCGAUUCUUCUUCUUUUCUUGUAAAAUUCGGCACACUAGUAAGUUUUUCGGUUACUCAAUGUUUUAGAUUUGUGUUUAAAUCGAUGGAAUAAGCUGCAAAAUGCCUUUGUUCGAAAUCUGGGGUUUAUAGGGUUCUUGAAUUAGGGCCGAUUUCACAAAUGUAUGUGUUGAUUAGGGCUUGAAUGGACCGAUUUCUAUCAAUAAACUGAACCCUAGGACUUAAUUUGUCCUUAACCCCGUGAUAGACCCAUCGAUUUGAGCUCGGGGACGGACGCCAAGCGUACGCCCUGUAAACUUCAAUUGACUACCUCUAUGAAGUUUCCCUGUUAAUUGUUUGCCAAUCUUAAAUAGAUAAGGAACUAACAGGGGAUUGAUUCAUCUUGUUGGACAUAAGUUUAAAGGUGGUCCCGAUUUUUUUCAUAAUGCCUUGGACCAUGCAUUUAUAUGUUAGAAUAUGGUCCCGUUUUCUAUACUACACUGCCUGCGUAUAUGCGUAAAUUGAAAGCUUUUUCAUGAAGUAUUGAUUUUAGAACCAGCAUGACACAGAUUAGUGAAAUCUGGACGUACGCCCAACGUAAGCUGGAUGUACGCCCAACGUACAGACCAUACCCAAGGACCAUUCUUUGAUUUAAAAAAUUGUUAAUUCUGUGAAAUUUUGUUUGGUUUUGUGUUUGUGUUUAUUUGUGCAGAUUAUGGCCCGAAGAACUCAAAGGACCAACCCACCCGAGGAUGUGACCGAUCACCGUUUCUUACAAUUUCCGCAAACUUUGAACGAUGCAACCCGGGCACGAUAUGUCAACAGUUUGAGUUUGCUGCUCACCAAGGAGAUCGACAUAGCACCCUCAUUUGACUGGGACUUGGCGACCCGGACUGGACUUGCUGCACUGAUCCAGGAUUUUUUGCAAUACACGCACUCGGAUGCAAGUGGUGUGGAUUUGUUCGUGUGUCAGGGAUGGGCACGAUUGUUCACGAUCCAGGAGCCUGUUUAUCGGGAAUUUUUGCUGGAGUUUUACGCUACAGUUUCCUAUGACCCUAGGAAGGCACCCGAUGACAGGACAACUUUUGCCUUUAGACUGGGGGGUGUGAGUCGAGAGUGCAGUGUCAUAGAGCUUGCAACUCGAGUGGGUAUAUACACAACAGAUGAGACGAGGAGUGUCCACUUCCUGGCAUUCCUUGCUGAUUGUCUUACGGAGCGGCCAGAUGACUAUAACGAAAACACUUNUUUGGGCCGAGAUUACAGGGGGAGUUUAAACGCCAUCUACUGCACGGGGUAGGAUGAUUCGGUCUACUACCUACAGACUGCUGCACCGGUUGACUUCCAUGACUCUCACGCAUCAUAAGAAUAGUAAGAGAGUGCCUUCGACAGACUUGUAUUUCCUAUGGGCACUUGUUACUCCAGGGAGGCACCUGAACCUUCCAGUUGCUUUAGCUGCAUAUUUGGGAUGGAGGGCCAGGGGACUUCGGGAGGAUAGCCUGAUUUGCGGAGGGCAUUUUAUCAUGCGAUUAGCCCAAUCAUAUCAGUUGUUGACGCAUGAGAUCACGAGAUCGAUGGUGCUCCACGAUAUGAGGCCGAUGAGCCUUCAGCUGUUGGAAUCGAUACGUGUACUCGAGCGGGGCGGAGAUGAUGUCUUGCGGGUAAGAGCAGAUGAUGUGGUGGACAAGGAGGGUGCAGCCAAGCCACAGUCGAGACGGGUCCAGCGGCGUAGACCUAUUCCUCGGGGAGCGCAGCAGGGACCUGAGCCGGAGAUUGAUAUGCGCUACCUAGCUCAGGGCAUUGACCGUCUUGAAAUGAGGGUUCAGAACCUUAGUGAGUAUGUUGCACAUGUGGACAGAUAACAGCAGUGGUAUGGGGAUGCGUUGACCGCAUUCUUUGCCCACCAGGGGUUUUAGUACUCGGUUCCCUACCCUCCACCAUUCCAGCCACGACAUGAUGGGGCCGGUACUUCUGGGACACAACAACAUGAUGAUGGAGAUGAUGAGUGAUUUAGUUAUCCUUUUUAUUUUUAUGUUAUUUUUAGUUUAUUUUUGUGUUACUAGUUUUAGUUUUUUUUUAUUUGGUAUGUAAUUAAACUUUAAUUUAGGAUGUUUUACUUUUGUUUUCCAUGUUAAUGCUCUUUGGUUGUUUAGAUCUCUGCAGAAUUUUCGCCCUUAGAAAGCUGGCAGUAAGUUCAGCAGCUAGGUCCGACUGUGCUCGAGAGAGUCGUGUUAGAGUUCGAAGAUUAUAGUCAUGACCCAAAAUUUGUCAUAAGUGUGGGGUGCAUAUUGAUUUCAUGAGCGAUUAUUUCGAAGAUUGGCAUUUUUACGAUAUUUUGAUUUCUAUGGUAUGGAUGAGCUGUUCCCACACCAUAGAGUUCUAUUUCGUCGCGAGGAAGAUGUAUCAUCUCGGCUGCCAUGACAUGGUUGACACUUUCCUAUGUUGUGAGGGAUUUUUCAUCGCGACAAGAAGAUGUCAUUUUUGAAGACAUGAUGUGGUCGACACUUUCACACAUCAGGGUUACUACACAUUGCAUUUAUUUGCAAUAUUGUGCACCACAUUUUUGAAGUCGGCAGUCUUGAUUUUAUUUUUCGACAAAUUCAGAAGCAGCAGUUCCAGUUUUCAGUCUUUCAGCGAUAUUUGGAGCAACUUGUAGCAGCCCCAUUCGAUCUCGCCACAACUACCCAGGGGAGUCUGUUCCUUUUUCUCUCUUUUUAUGUUCUUAGUUCGUUUUAGCAUACAAUGAGGGCAUUGUAUGAAAUAAGUGUGGGGUAGGGGGUCGGUAAUAGUAAAUUAUAAAAAUAAAAUAAUAGUUAGGAAAUUGCUAGAUUUAGGAAAUUUAAAAAUUUUAAAACUUGAAAUAAUAGUUUAAUUCAGAAAAAUCUAGUGAUAAUUUAAAUUUUGCUAAUAUUGUAUGAAAUGAUCCGAUGAAAACUCAAAUGUUUAGUUGAGCCAAUAUACAUUAUAGUGCAUUUGUGGCCUCCCUUAUUUUAGUGAAAUCAUGGAACAAAAACAUAACCCCGCUUGGUUUGAGGGANGCUUGGUUGGAGGGAUGCAAUAUGUUUAGCAGCCUAAACCUGAAAUGUAUCCAGGAAAAUUAUUAUCAUUAACCAAUAAAGGUUGAGGUUGAGCGCCUCUGCUUAAGCAUGUAGGUUUUUGAGUGAAAAAAGUGAGGUACAUGUUAAAAAAAAAGAGAAUUACGAGUAAAGUUUGAAGAAUUUUGGAGCAAAUAAAGUGAAGAUCAAAAGAUCAAAAUUCCAAGAAAUUUCAAAAACUUGAAGAUACCAGAAAUCAAAACAACAAAGGUGGUGAAUUCAAAGAAAUCAAAGAUCAAACUAUCAAGGAAGUGAAGAAUUCCAAAAGAGCUCCAUAAGUGGUAUCAUAGAUUCUAAUUCUAGAUUAUGUAUUCUUAGGUUGCUCAACUAAAAAUACCUUGAGGAUAAGGAGGUUUUCUGCGGAUGGAUUCGGAGGAUUGCAUAAAAUGAGCAUUGUUUGGAAAAAGUGGGCGAGUGUUUAUGAAGAUUGUGAGUAUUUAAAGUAUGUGGGGGUACUUUAGAAAAAUUUUAGACACAAAUGCAUGCGUUGCGGUCUUGACAUAAUGGCUGAGUUUUAAAUGGAUUGUUUAGUGCGAUGUUGGUAAAUAAAAGUAAAUUUGCUNAGUAAAUUUGCUUGAGGGCAAGCAAAGGCUAAGUGUGGGGUAUUUUGAUAUGUGUAUUUAUAUAUAUAUUUUUAUGUAUUAUAUCUUAAUAUUUUGGCCUUUAUUAUUCUCUUUUAGAACUAAAAAGUACUCACAAUGCUUUAAAUUAUGUUUUGCAACUAUUCGUUGACGAUAAAGCACAAAUGAAAAGACCGAAGCGGAAAUCAGGCUUAGAAGAUAAAAGAAAGGAAAAAUGUUGGAGGAACGGUUACGCCCUACGUAAUACUAAAUUACGCCCCGCGUAAUGGCUGGCAUCGGAUAACUCCAAUCGCGUAUAAAUCCUUAGUACGCCCAGCGUAAUCCGACUUACGCCCAACAUAUGUAAGUCGGUUACAAAGGUUAUAAAAGUCGAUUAUCAGCUAACCAGAAGGGGGGAUUCGACUUUCAACUUAAUUUAGUCGAUAUUAAACUUCUGUUAAGCCGUUUUGAGGGUCUAGAAGGCGGCCGGAAGGCCGUUAAGCUAACGAGAGCGGAGAUCGGAAGGGUUGGAGAGCGGAUACAUGUCGGUAAUCAUAUGGGUUGUUAACGUGACCAUGAGCAUUCCAUUGUGUUACUAUU
rnacentral:lncRNA from 1 species